CUUGCAACCCCACGGGGUUGUUCUGAGGAUUAGCUGAAAUAGCAGAUGUAAAGUGCCUGUCACAUAGUAGACAUUCAAUGAAAAUGAAAUCACGCUACCAGGUGAGUAGGCUGGGUGUUAAUGUAGCCAUUUUGCAGAUUAAAAAACUGGGUCCCAGAAAGGAUAGACUAUGUGUUAACAAGGACACAGCUAGGAAGUAGGAGUGGCAAUGGCGGGAAAUGGCCUGCUAGCUCCAAUUCCAAUUAACUAGACUCACCGCUUCCCAAGACACACAGCUUCAAUCUGGUCUUACUCACCCACAAGCUAACAUUUCACAAGUACUGAGUCAGAGCUUCCCCUCCUCUUAGGCUGCAUGAGAAUCACAGCUCUCUCCACCCCGGGCUUGGCAGACCCCACCUUCUUCUGGGGCCCCUGGAGGGAAUGCACGAGGCCGAGGCCGAGGCUGCCAGGAACUGAGAAAGUAGGCGAGGCAGCUGCUCCCAUCCGUCGAGUGACCUGACCUGCGUGAGCUGGAGGGGUCCACGAUGCUGCCAAGGACCACAUCAGAAAGAUAAUAUUUGAAGAGUGAAAGGUUCUCCAAAGAAUGUAAAAUCCUUCAAGCAAGCAAGCGCCUGCAGUUCUUGAGCCAUGAUUCAUUCUGGACGGGCCAGAACGUGGGCUGUGGAUAGCGAGGAAAACAGGUCACAAGGAAGUGGAGAGGCAGAGCUGGGAAGGAUUUGGGAGAUUAUCAAUCCUUCAGCAAAGGAGAAAUUGUGAUUCAAAGCAGAAGACUUUUCCAAGACACAGCUAAAGGGACCUGGACCCAGAUUUCUCAGGCAUUCAUCCACCCAUUCUUUCACUCAGCAUUUACUGAGCGCUUGCUAUGGGCCUGGAGGGAGGUCAGGUUCUAAGAAUGCAGCAGUAAACAAAACAAGCAGGGCUUCUGUCUUCCCGAAGGUGACUUUCCAGAGAAGAGGAGAGACAAUUAAACACACAAUUACAGAAAAGAUGAGAAGAGCUGUGACCAGGGAGGUACAGAGUGCUAUGGGACCACGGAGGAGGGCAGCCACAUCCAAUCCAUGGGUCAUGAAAGGCCGCUGGAUUAAGUGAUGGUUCAGCUGAGACCCGAAGACUAAGGAGGGCUUAAUGAGGGAACAUCAUAAUCUGUCCUGCAUCUUGAGGGGAAGUAAGGAACCGGAGCAUGUGAACAGGACCAGGAUCAGACCACUUCCAGGAACCCAUGCAAGCUGUGCUGAUAAGUCACAACUCAAGAACUGGUGAUAAAUAAACUGGUGUUUACUCUGAGUAACAGUGAUCUGAUCUAAGCACUUGGAUUUUCAUGACAUUAACUAUUUCAGAGCAUCCCAAGAAUUACCAGUAACCCAGGAAAACCUUCUCCAUCCCAGGAGGAUCAGUGGUUGCAACACCCGGG
rnacentral:lncRNA from 1 species